GAUCCCGUGGAGUUACCGGCGCGGGGUUCCCCGGCUAGGUGCAGUGACUAGAUCGUUAUUACUUAAACCACGAACGAGGAGUAAUUGCAAGCUCGAGGCAGUCGCAGGGAUGAUCUUUGCAUGUUACAGAGUAAUUGGUUUUAACAAAAAACGUGGAGCUUGAAGGUCACCUAUCAAAACUUUGCCUGUUAUCACAAAGCCAAAGGAUAUGCAGAGAUGGCGUGUAGACGUGAAAAAGCUAAAUUGUUACCGUUUCAUUUUGUUAUAUGUGUCUCAGGUUACUUGUUCCUUAUUUUAAGUUUUUUGAAAACUUAACUCUUUGCCUAAGUGAGAUUUCAAAAAGCAUAUAUCAUGCGUAUGAAACUUUGAGGAAACAUUUUACUGGGAAACAUGGAGUAGGAUAGCCACUUCACAGUUAAGGUUUCAACUGAGUUCGUUUUAUAAGUUAAUGUUUUGCUGUCUCCCCCAAAAUAAAGGGAACCCUCCCCCCCUCCCCCCCAAUAAAGUACCGGUUGGUAAAGGGAAUGCUGUGUUAGAUCUGGAGAAGAGAUACAAUUUUUCUAUCUAAUUUGAAGUGAAUUAUUGAAGAGGUUACAGAAUUAUAGUUAUUUUAACUUGUUUCUUCUAAAACAAAUUCUUGUUUGGUAUUCAUCAAAGGUGCAUCUGCACUAGUGCUACCAAUGUUGCAAACCUGUGUACACCACAUCCAGGUGUAACACCAUCUGAUGUCCAUAUUUUUAUCUGCUCUUGAGUUUGCAGCAUUUCUAGCACUAGUGAAGCUGUAUUUUUAUUGCAAAAUAGGUAAGUAUAAACAGCAAAAAAAGGGGGGGGGCGCUAAAAUGUAGAUUUACUAAACUAAUCUGUUUGAGAUCAUGUUACAGGACAAGAAAGAAGAAAAUCUCUAACACUCUUUUUAUGAGAUCUCCCUUUGGUUCAGGAGAGCAGGCAAUAUAAAAGAUUGUGAUGACGUCACUGAUACGGGGCUUUGAAGAGCUCAGGUUCAUGCUCUUCCCUGGAUCUCCCUGAGCCUCUUGUAUCUGAGCAUCACUGUGGUGCUCAAUACCUAUGUUCCAGAUCAUGGAUGAUACCAGACCAGAGGUUCAAUCUGUACAAUAACCACAGUGUGUGCACCAGGCAGCCCACUCUCCAUGUGAAGCCCACCUCUAACUACCAAAGGAUGAUAGUGAACUGUAGCCCACUCAGAAGAUGAGACAAAACUUAGCCAAUCUGGCACAUUCCUGAAGGGGUAAGAAAAUGUCCACUCUGUGUUUAAGUUACUAAAAAGAAGAUAUCUGGCAUCUUCCAAGCUUCUAGUCACUCUUCAGAAAACACCACCUUGGUUUUUGCUUAUCAGUUAAUCGACUACACUAUUACAUCACUAAUACAAACAGCAACAAACUGCAUAAAUAAAUUGUAAAAAUCCUAAAAGAAACAGGUCCCAUCAAUCAUCUGCAAAUGCAGUGACAGACAGUGUUUUUGGCUCCAUAGCUGAUUUGAAAAUAUAUAAGACAAAGAGCUGUUAGGCUGAGGAAAAUUCAAUGAGGAAAGAUUGUUUAGAAAGAGAAUAAAGAAAAUGGUUGUGAUUUGAAAUAUAAGAAGCAAAAUAAGCUCUCUCUCUCUCUCUCUCUCGCUCUCUCUCCAGAAACAUCUAAAAUGGAAUUUAAGCCAUAUGCUUACAACAAAUCCAGAGGCUCCUUAUAUUCCUCUUGGUACAAAAAAUUCAGUUCUAUUACUACAUACAGGCCAUAUUCUUUGAUAUUUGUGUAAGCCUCCCAUUGAUAUGAGUGAGAAUGCAAAGAGAACUGUUCUUGACUUGUCUAACCCUUCCUUUCCAUUUUCUGUGAAAGUCAACCGGCAUUUUAAAUGUAGCUUUCUUAUGGUCCAUUGCGUUUUGCAGUUUGUGCCAUUUUGGUAUAUGUAAAUAGAAGCAGUAUCAAGUUCUGAGUGCAGUGCUCUGUCAUCAGGCUAAUGUGUCACUCUUUCUGGCUUAAUGUUGAUAAAAAUAUCUGCAGCAUCUUUCUGGCAGAUCACACACUUGUCAUAAGUCUAUGUCCAGCUUCAGCCUUCUGAGUCUUGUCAUGUUCCUAUUAUUAAAUUGACAGGGCUUUAUGUUUUUCUAUUUGAUGUUUACUUUGUGAUCACUAUUAGACUCCUUUCUGCUGCUCAUUUCUUUUACCCUCUGCUGGAUAGUCUGCCAGUGAACAAAGAAAUUUUGUUAGAAUGUUAUUGUACUUUAUUUUCUAUAUAAACUUCUGAGUCAAAAUAUCUGACUGUCUGGGUUAUUUCCUUUGCUACAGUGAAAUAUUCUGCUGUUAGUGCUGCUACUGCUUUAUACUUGUUAAAUUGUUAUUGAUAUCAUAUUCCAUAUGCUUUGUAGAAUCAUAGAACCAUAGAGCUGGAAGAGACUUCAGAAGGUCAUAGAGUCCAGACCCCUGCUCUAUGAAUAUGCUUGUUAUGAAUUACAUAGCAUAUACUAUAUGCAAAAUGGUUCAUGUAAAAUAUCAUUGGAAAGAUUGUGAUUUACUGAGUAUGAUUAUCCCAUUCAUAUGCAUGUAUCAUUUCCAUAUCUGAAGUUAGGAAUAUUCACCUGUUACAUCUGUAUUUCAUAUUUGC